UGGUGAUUCAGGUGGCCCAUUAGUUACCAUGCAACAAAAGACCCGUAUUGAUUGGUGUGGUGUCAUUUGGCUCCGUUCUGGGAUGCGAGAUUAAUUUUCCUUCUGCCUACACUCGUGUCAGCUCAUUCAUCAGUUUCAUCAACCAACAUCUUUGAGAUGUUAAAAUAAACCAGCCAGCCCUCCUAAAGUUAAAACCAACUGUCCCGGUUUGGGGCAACCUGCAUUGUGGUGAAUGAGAAGACUCCCAACUUAAAUACGCGAUCUCGACUUCAGCAUGUCCGUUUAUGAAAAUAUAACACUAAUAUACAAUAAAGUACUUAAAA